CCUGCAAGCACUCAUGGGCGGCAAAAAAUACCGCCCCCAAAUGCUCCCCAUGUUAUCCCUGUCAUGGAGGGCCCAAGAGGUGGCUUUAUGGCCACCUGAUGAACUCCCGCCCCCCCGGGCUGGCACCUCUCCCCCUAUCAGACCGGCCAGGGAGCUGUGUUCUCUCUUCUCUGCUCCCUCGCACGCCGCUUGCUGAUGCCGGCCAUCAGUAGACAGCCCAUGUAGUGAAAGGGAGCAGAGCAGAGACAACACAGGUCCCUUGCUGCGUCUGACCAGGAGACAGGCGCUGGCCGCACUUAAGCCCCACUGGACCCCAGGGACAGGUCCACGCCAGCUCUCCAGGUAGAGAGGCUG